CAUUCCUCACUUAUUACUAUACUGUAGCGCAAAGAUAAUCCCGAAAUGAAGGCGAGGAGCCAGGUGUUUCGGGAGGUAUUUUAUUCGCUGUCCUUCUCCUGACCAGACGAGU